AACAAAAAUACAGGUGUUUCAUCGAAAACUAACCGAACAAAAACCCUAGAUUUUGAGAAUCAACAGAAACUUGGAUGGAAAUCGAUGAGGGUAACAUCGAUCGAAAGCUGAUGACGAGGAGAACUAGAAUAUACCCGCUCUGAUACUAUGUCAACAAUCUAACUCAUCGGAUUGAAGAAAAUAAAGAAGAAGAAGAUGAACAGUAAAGAGGAAAGAGAAGAGAGAAAAUGAAUCUGAAUUUGCAUUGAUUGAACUGAGCUGUCUCGAACCUUCCGCCUGUGUAUAUACCAAAGCAUAAUAAAAUCUAAUGUGUGUGUGUAAUUACAAGUGUGUCCCUGACUUAUGUACAAAAUUAUACAACAAUUAAAUAGACCCACUACCCUUGGGCUGCUACUAACUCUUGGGCAGCUGAUAACUUGGG
rnacentral:lncRNA from 1 species